rnacentral:lncRNA from 1 species
GUGAGACCCCGAGGCUCUGCCCGCGCCGGGCUUCUCGGUAGCUGGAUGCAUGUCGUGCUGGGGCAGCGCGGGCGCAGGGCACGCGUUCGCGCACACCCGCGCACACACGAAAACGCGCAAGAGCUGAACCGAGCCGGGUUUCCAUUUCAAAAAAGGAGACAGCCUCUACUGCGAAUGUAGAAGAGACCGAGGUGUGAAUUAGGGACCAGGAGGCGUCGAGCGGCGGAACGGUCCAUCUCAGAGCCUGGAGGUGCGUCCCGGAUCCCAGUGUACGUCUAGCAAGGAGGCUGCGCCCCAGAGAGUCCGGGGAGCGCCGCCGGCUGGUGCCCGGCGCGCCAGGCCAUGCAACGGCGGCAGCGGCGGAGCUCAGAAC